CGAUGAGUAGGGCGGGACACGUGGUAUCCUGUCUGAAUAUGGGGGGACCAUCCUCCAAGGCUAAAUACUCCUGACUGACCGAUAGUGAACCAGUACCGUGAGGGAAAGGCGAAAAGAACCCCGGCGAGGGGAGUGAAAAAGAACCUGAAACCGUGUACGUACAAGCAGUGGGAGCACGCUUAGGCGUGUGACUGCGUACCUUUUGUAUAAUGGGUCAGCGACUUAUAUUCUGUAGCAAGGUUAACCGAAUAGGGGAGCCGAAGGGAAACCGAGUCUUAACUGGGCGUUAAGUUGCAGGGUAUAGACCCGAAACCCGGUGAUCUAGCCAUGGGCAGGUUGAAGGUUGGGUAACACUAACUGGAGGACCGAACCGACUAAUGUUGAAAAAUUAGCGGAUGACUUGUGGCUGGGGGUGAAAGGCCAAUCAAACCGGGAGAUAGCUGGUUCUCCCCGAAAGCUAUUUAGGUAGCGCCUCGUGAAUUCAUCUCCGGGGGUAGAGCACUGUUUCGGCAAGGGGGUCAUCCCGACUUACCAACCCGAUGCAAACUGCGAAUACCGGAGAAUGUUAUCACGGGAGACACACGGCGGGUGCUAACGUCCGUCGUGAAGAGGGAAACAACCCAGACCGCCAGCUAAGGUCCCAAAGUCAUGGUUAAGUGGGAAACGAUGUGGGAAGGCCCAGACAGCCAGGAUGUUGGCUUAGAAGCAGCCAUCAUUUAAAGAAAGCGUAAUAGCUCACUGGUCGAGUCGGCCUGCGCGGAAGAUGUAACGGGGCUAAACCAUGCACCGAAGCUGCGGCAGCGACGCUUAUGCGUUGUUGGGUAGGGGAGCGUUCUGUAAGCCUGUGAAGGUGUACUGUGAGGUAUGCUGGAGGUAUCAGAAGUGCGAAUGCUGACAUAAGUAACGAUAAAGCGGGUGAAAAGCCCGCUCGCCGGAAGACCAAGGGUUCCUGUCCAACGUUAAUCGGGGCAGGGUGAGUCGACCCCUAAGGCGAGGCCGAAAGGCGUAGUCGAUGGGAAACAGGUUAAUAUUCCUGUACUUGGUGUUACUGCGAAGGGGGGACGGAGAAGGCUAUGUUGGCCGGGCGACGGUUGUCCCGGUUUAAGCGUGUAGGCUGGUUUUCCAGGCAAAUCCGGAAAAUCAAGGCUGAGGCGUGAUGACGAGGCACUACGGUGCUGAAGCAACAAAUGCCCUGCUUCCAGGAAAAGCCUCUAAGCAUCAGGUAACAUCAAAUCGUACCCCAAACCGACACAGGUGGUCAGGUAGAGAAUACCAAGGCGCUUGAGAGAACUCGGGUGAAGGAACUAGGCAAAAUGGUGCCGUAACUUCGGGAGAAGGCACGCUGAUAUGUAGGUGAAGUCCCUCGCGGAUGGAGCUGAAAUCAGUCGAAGAUACCAGCUGGCUGCAACUGUUUAUUAAAAACACAGCACUGUGCAAACACGAAAGUGGACGUAUACGGUGUGACGCCUGCCCGGUGC
rnacentral:rRNA from 1 species